UAAGAAGUGGCAGUUAUUAAACCUCUAUAAAACCAACCAACCAAACAAACCCAUUGCUGUCAGGUGAUUCCGACCCAUAGCGACCCUAGAAGCUUUGCAUUAGCCUACAGUAAGUUCCACUAAACCUUCUCCUCUUCUCGCAUGUAUCCGUUUAAAGAUCAGGCAACUCUUUGGAAGUUACUCAUAUGGCUAUGGUUUACACGGGUAAAAAGGUAAAAAGAACACAUAGCAAGCUAGAUUCACAGCAACUUGCCUCAUUUGUCUCCUCUGUAGUUUUAAGUAACAACCAGGUAAUCUCUACAAUUCAGGUGGCCUAGAGAUGUCUUUACCUCUGAGGGGAAUUGAGAGUCCUAUAAUUUCCAAUCAGAUUAUUCUCUAGGCCCUUUAAACUUGCUCAUUUUUCUCCACUGCAGGCAUUCUCCAAGUGUGAUAGCCUCACUGGUAGCAAUAGACCUCAUCUGGGAACUUGUUAGAAAAUGCAAAUUCUCUGGCCCUCAGAAUCAGAAACUCUGGACGUGGGGCCCAGUGACCUGUCUUUUACAGAUCCUCCAGGUGAUUCUGAUGCCUGCUAAAGUUUGAGAACCAGUAUUCUAGUGCAUGGCAUUGUGGUUUGGGGGGCAUGCUAAAGGGGAGCGGGGUGGUGGGAGAAAGCCACCCCUGAGGGGAAAGUCUUUUGUAACUAGUAUAUUUAGAACUGCUAGUACAUGACGAUAAUAAAAAGCAGAUUGAUCUUUUGAACUGGCUGUUUUAAAAUUCUGUACAGACAGUGAACCUUGCACCCAUAGAUGGCCAUCCCAUAUCCUGCCCCCCUACCACCACCACCUCCCACCAAUCCUACCCACCUACUGCUAUGCCACUGCUGUUAUCAGUGUUCUAUAGGUAGAUUGUGGUUCAGGGCUAGGAUUCACAGGCUCUCUCCCCUCUCUAGAUUCCCUCCGUUGCCUUGGCUUAUGAGAAAGCUGAAAGUGACAUAAUGGACAGGAAGCCUCGCCACGAGAAGGACAGACUGGCGAACAAGCCACUCGCCCUCUACUCUUUCCCGCACAUUGGUGUGAUAAGGGCAUCUCUUACCUGCCGCACUAGGGUCCACCCAAGAGAAUUCCCUUGAGACAGGUCACAAUUGUGUUUUUUCUUUUGGGAUGGGGUUGGGAUGACAGGAGGGACUGACAGGAAUAUUAUAGAACCUUACUCUCUUAUUCUUUUAGGCCUCAUGCAAUCCCUGGGAGCUUUUGUUGUCUAUUUCACUGUUUAUGCACAAGCGGGGUUUAGACCCAGCACUCCCAUUGGCCUCCGGGUAAAAUGGGAAAAUGACGAUAUGAAUGACUUGGAAGACAGCUAUGGACAAGAAUGGGUAAGGGAGGGGAAAGCUCUUCCCUGAGCAUCCUAUUGGUUCUCCCCUCCUGUCACUGUCCUGCCCUGAUAGAUGCUGAAAGUUCAUUUUCCUGAACUGCCUUAGUGAGACACAGAGAGUGAAACUUUUCUCAGUUAUUAGGGCUUUGGCCUUUGCCAGGACUCAGCCUCAUCUCUCAAAUUAGAUCACAAGAGCUAACCUUUUUACAUUAGUUUUGCAAUUGGUAUGGAAGAGUGACUAGUCCAGCAACACCCACAACUGGACCAAAUAAAUUAGCAUUCUUUCCCUACUCACCCGGUUAAAGUGGAAAUCGAUAUGUUUCUUUCCAAGACAAAGAGGCCAUCUGCUCUCAGUCUUGGUGAAGCAGGGGAGGGAAUAAAGCUUUGCAGAACUGCGUUGAAAUUUCCCUAGAAUAUUUCCUCGUGAGUCUCAUGGUCUCCUCUGCCUCUGCUCUCUGACAGACGAGGUACCAGAGGCAGUACCUAGAAUGGACAGGCUACACAGCCUUCUUCAUUGCCAUUGUGGUCCAGCAAAUAGCAGGUCUGAUCAUCAGGAAAACCUGGAGAAACUCCAUUUUCCAGCAAGGUCUCUUCAGUCAUCUGGGUAGGGAUCGCCUCACAGAUCAUCACAGCGUUAAUCCUCUCCUAUGGCUUCGGGAGUGUCACAGCCCUGAACUUCACUGUGCUCUGGGCUCAGUAUUGGUUUGCGGCUGUGUCAUAUGCUAUUCUGAUUUGGGUGUACGACGAGGUGCGAAAAUUCUUCAUCAGGCUUUACCCUGGAGGUCAUGUAGUAUUAAGACCACCUUAUUUCCCAAUUCUCCCAACUGCACAUUGGUGAUGUUCUUCGGUUUUUUUGGGCCAGUAACCGGAAGAUCUCUUGGGCAAUGGGGACACCAUCCAAAUUCGUGCAAGAGAAGGAAAAAAACUGUAUUAAAGUGAUCCAACUGAUGUUUUAUAUUUUUAUUGAAGUUGAGAUUCAACUAUUUGUAUAUGAUUUUUAUCUCCAUCUCCCUGUUUUAAAAUAAGUGAAUUUCGAGGUAACAUUGCAGGGAAGAGGGCAUGUUUAUAUGUACAUAAAUUUCAAGUCUUGUGUAACCCAGAUAUCUUCUGGGGUCUCACUGCUCCUUAAGCUCUACAUAGGAUUGCUCAGACCUCCAUUCCACACUCUACUGAAGGUCUAAGACCUCCCUAAGAUUUCUGUAAAUUCCUGGGGAACUUAUAUUUUCAUGGCCACCUUACACAAAAAAAGGCUAAUUCAGCUGAAGGUUUGCAAGAGAUGGAGGUGGCAGCAGGCUUAUAUCAUAGCAACCCAGACCAUCUCAAGUUUGACUCUAAGACAUCCUUUUCAAAAGUCCUCAGCCAUCUUGCCAUGACACAGUUUUACUGGCCGCAUCAGCCCUCGUCCCAACUUCUUGCCAUCUCACCAGUCCUUUUAGGCUCUAAUUCCUCCCAUGUUACCUUCCUUCUCUCCCAGCCUCCAAAUUGUCCCUCCCCCAUACCUCUCACCCACCACACACCCACUGCCCUCGAGUGGAUUCUGAUUCAUAGCGACCCUGUAGGACCAGAGUAGAACUGCCCCAUAGGGUUUCCAAGGCUAUAAUCUUUACACAAACAGACUGCCACAUCUUUCUCCCAUGGAGUGGCUAGUGGGUUGGAACCGCCGACCUUUUGGUUAGCAGCCCAGUGCUUUAACCUCUCGCCACCAGGGCUACCCCUCCCCCCACCUCUAGACCUGUAAUUUAGCCUUCUUCAGCUCCUCCAAAACUGAGCUCCAUUCUGCAUGUCCUAAUUCAAAAUGCUUAUUGAUCCAAAGGGCCUUUCAUUUACUUAGAUUCCACCUCAGUUAGAAAGCCAUUUCUGUUUAAAAAGGAAUAUUUAUUUCUUGUAAAACAGCUGCAAAUCACUCUCCAGCAGCACUCAUUUUAUGUCAAUCAUGAACUUUCAUGUUUUCACUUAAAUUUAUUCAUGUUUUCACUUAAAUUUAUUCAUGUGUGACACAUUGACAGGCAAGAGAGCUUUCAUUUUUAAAUAAAAGAUGUUUUGAAAAACCAGAUCUAAUUAUGGUGUUCUAGUUUUUUUAGUUAGAGUUUUUCUUGAAUGCAGAGCAUAGGACACACAAAAAAUAAGGCGUGAUUUUAAUUUUUUUUUUUUUUAACUUUUUUCUGGCAAUUAACUACAGAAGGCCAGAAAAUGUAGGGCCUACUUUUUGGACUCUCCCCUCACCAGUAUUCCUGCUCUGUAUGCUAUGCCUUCUUGAUGUGCCCACAUUUCUGAGUCAGGGUUUCCAUGGGAGUGAUACAUCCUCCAUAAGCAACAUUCUAGGGAAAGCCGUUAUCACAGCCUUCCCAUCUAUUGCACGCCCAAAACAAAUCUGAUCUGAUACUGAUCUGAUAGAACCUGAAAAUUAUAUUUGGUUAAACUUUUCCCACUCAAAUGGCCUACCCCAUCACUUUUCUCCAUCACAGAGAUUAAGGCAUAUGCUCUGCUGAUGGCUCCAAAAUUGGUAUCUCUGGAACAACGAAAGGGAGAUUUAGAGCCAUUGCUCUCUAUCGUGGUUUUCUCGGGGGCCACAUCUAGGGACAUGAAAUAGAUAAAGGGACCAUUAUUGUUACUUUUGUAAAUAAAUUAUAACGUACAGUAUGUACCGUGUGUGUGUGUUUAAGUUAAAAUAAUGUCUCUGUCCUUGGGGGUUUUAAUCUCUGUUUGUAGCCGCAAUUAUCUCUAGACUAAUCUCGUAUCAGCAGCUCCAGUGAACCGGAAACCUUUUGUAGCCAUAGUUUGGACAGCUUGGUAAUGGCCUUCUCAUUCCAAUCUUGCCAAAAAGCCUAUGCUUUUUGAUUUCUGUUUCCUGCCAGGCAGGCAGAGUGCUCUUGGCUGUGAGGGUCUGUAGUUCUGUCCUGCCAGAGCUGGCAGAAGAGGGUAUAAAUAGAGCACACCGCUUCAGGAAUUAACUUGGGGCUGGAUAACUUUUGUAUUUUGUAUAAACCUAGUCUUGCAAAAAGUUGGCACUCAGAUAUUUGUAAAAUGAACAAAUAACUAAGAAAUCCCAGAAAUGAGACUGGCUAAUCAAAAAGCUUUACUAAGUUGUAGACAGAAAAAAGUUAAAAAAAAAAAAAAAUCCCAUACCAGGGCUUUUUUGAG